rnacentral:lncRNA from 1 species
AUGAGGACUGAGGGAGCACGCGCGGCCAGAGGGAUCUGCUCGGACUCACGGCGAGGUGGAGGUGGAGGGGCCGGUUCUGAGGCAAGGAGGCAGCUGGCUGGGGAGGCAGGGCUCGGCUCAGUGUCCCCAGCCCAUCCCAGAGUCAGACUGAGCCCUAGGCCCGGAGGCCCCCGCAGGGCCCCCUCAGUACCUCCCACACAACCAAGCCCCUGCCAGGACACCGCCUGCCCCCACCCUGCCUUCAGGGCGGCCGCCCAGGGCCGGCAGGUCCAGGCCAGGCUGCAACUGGGGUCCAGAAGAAAAGAGGCACACCGUCUAAGCCCCCGCUCUCUGGACCGCCUCGCGUCUCCCCGCGGAAGUCAACUCAGAGCCGGGCAGGGACAGGCCCCCCGGUCAGCAGGUCAGCGGUGGAGCGGAGCGACAGAGGUGGGCCCACCGCACCUCCCUCCCCCUGGGGGUUCUAGCAACCCCUCCCAGGGCACAGGCCCCACCAGCCAGGCCUCCCGCCUUCCCACAAGCCAGAGCUCUGGCCCGGCCCGCCUUCCCGCACCGGUGUCUCGCUGUACCCAGCUCAAGGGGGCACAAGCAGGGGGUCACUGGGGCCUGCCCUCACACUCCUUGCCUGGGGCCCUCCUCCCGUGGCACUCCAUCGGGGGACAACACCUCCUCAGGGAACCGAAGCAACAUGUCCCUCAGUGUGCCACCAAACGCACCUCUGACCUCUGCCAGGGAGUCCUUCCACUCGUCCUCUUCCUCCUCCCAGACCUCCCGGGGCCCCCGGCUACAUGGCCCCGGCCGCAGGGCGGGACCCUUCCCUUCGCCUCAGACAAGGCCCCUGACACUUGCCAACUGGGAAGAGGGGCCUGUGAGGUCUCCCUACUCCAGCUGGAUCGAGUGAUGUGGAGACAGGGGUGGAGCAGACGACCCCCAAAGCAAGUGGCUUCAACCUCCAACUCGGCUCCCCAACUGGGAAGAAGUCGUGCAGACAAACGCAAGUCUCUGUGUCACCAUGCCCAGCACAGAGCUUGGCACACAGGGACACGACAAAUGGAAGUUUCCUUCCUCCAGUCCCCAGGGAUCUCAAAACUUUCAGUUUUAGGUCUCCAAAGUAUACUGGAAAGUAGAGCAAAGGGGUAUGGCCGACGGUGA